AUCAAAAUGUGUGAAAACUAGCAAAAACUGUUGAACUGGAGUGAAAGUGAUACACGUGAUUGACGCUGAAGUUUUGGUGAAAGUUUUAUGAAGUGCUGGCCAGCCGAAGAGACACACAACGAGCUCCAAAGAACUAGUGCUGUUAGAGGGAUGGAGCCAGUUAUUGACAUAACACUGCCCAGAGCGGCAACGCCGCAAGCUCUUUGGUCCGUCAUUGGGCCGCGGGCCAUCAUGGCGAUCGCGUUUGUGACGCUCAUACUGCCGGAGACUGCGGAGUUCUAUAUCAACUUGAAAACGAGAAACACGCAAUAUCCAAGCCAAAGGAUCCACGUGAUGUUGCGUCACACUCGAUGGCGCCCGUACAUCCCAAACCCGUUCGCGGCAAAUAGGCGCCAUUACCGAGGCGACGGAGUAGCUAACCCGCGGCGGCGUGCCAUGGGAUAACUCUUGUAGGCAUCCUCGAUAAAUAAUCACUAUGCUGUUGCGGCGCUCGCGAAGGCCCUGACGCUCGUCACAUGCUGCACUCUUUCGGGUCGAGGGUCGAACGACGUGGCGCCACCGACCGAGCGGCGAUGGGGUGAAUUCUUUGAGACGGCGCGCCGUUGGAUAACUCAAGUAAUUUUAAACGACUUCUGUUUUUGUCAUCGUCUUUCCAUUUCUAUCGCAUCAUAGAUAGUUCUACAGCGAUGGAGAUAUAAGAUUUAAUAUCCGCCAAAGCGGAACAACGUCUGAAACUUUUGUAGAAAGCGAUGAAACGGAAGACGCACUGAGGAAAAAUUUCAAAAGUUAUGACUAGUACUUUAUGAGUAAAUUUUUACAUCAAAUCUACGUGCACGUCAGUUUAUGUUUGUGUAGUAUCUUGUAUUAUAAUAUUAAUUACCUACAUUAAUAUUUUACGUGUCCUUAAAAUUUGUAGGGGAGGUUCUUGAUUUUCUCACCGCCAAAUUAACUACUUUUUAGGGUUCCGUACCCAAAGGGUAAAAUCGGGACCCUAUUACUAAGACUCCGCUGUCCGCCUGUCCGUAUGUCUGUCUGUCACCAGGCUGUAUCUUAUGAACCGUUAUAGCUAGACAGUUGAAAUUUUCACAGAUGUAUUUCUGUUGCCGCUAUAGCAACAAAUACUAAAACGUACGGAACCCUCGGUGCGCGAGUCCGACUCGCACUUGGCCGGUUUUUAUUAUAGAUAGGUGAUUAGGUGCUAUGACUGUCUGCAAAAGGUAAGCUGUGCGGUAAGUUUAUACUUACUACUCGACUUACUGUCGAGCGUUUUCGACUUAAAAUACGUGAGUGACCCGUUUUUAAUAUGUUUAAUAUACUUACAUGUAAUAUUAAAUAUACAUGUAUAAACUACCGUAAAAUGGUCCUACUUUGCUCCUUGGUGGGUACUAUGCUCCAAUUUAAAAAAAGGCCUAAACGUCUAAUAUAUUCACACAUAAUAUUCCUAUGUUAUUAUUUAUAUACUCAGAUAAACGAAAUUGUAUAUAUAUUUUGAAUUGCGACGUUAGUCAUAAAAUUAAUAUAUUUUUUGGCGGGGCCUAUUAAUUUGGCGCACAAUGGGGUAACUUUGCACUCCUAACACUGAUUUAAACUUUCACGAUUUUAACUCAUUAUUAUUC